GGGACUGAUCUGGUUUCUACAUGUCUAUUAACUUACUUUAGUAUGGGUUAGUUGGUAAUUUAAUACAAUUUUUGUGAAAUUGUUUUAUAGCAUUUUUUAUUUAAUUGCAAAACACAAUAUUAUAGUUUUUUCUCGAAAUAAAGCUUUAGCAUAGAUUUUGUGAAUGUUAAAAUUAUAUUUUUUCUAUAUUCUUUGACAUAUUUAAGGGAAUGCUCUUAUUAUUUAUAUUUAUUUUUAUCUAUUAAUAUUAGAUAUAUAAUGAGAUAAGUUAUAUUAAUUUCAUUUUAAUAAACCAAACUAUCCCUGUUUAUGAACAGCUAUGGUAUAAUAUUAGACGUGGACGUGGGUUCAAAUCCCGCCAGUUCCA
rnacentral:tmRNA from 1 species